rnacentral:rRNA from 1 species
GUAGGGUGCGAGCGUUGUCCGGAAUUAUUGGGCGUAAAGGGCUCGUAGGCGGUUUGUCGCGUCGGGAGUGAAAACACGGGGCUUAACUCCGUGCCUGCUUCCGAUACGGGCAGACUAGAGGUAUGCAGGGGAGAACGGAAUUCCUGGUGUAGCGGUGAAAUGCGCAGAUAUCAGGAGGAACACCGGUGGCGAAGGCGGUUCUCUGGGCAUAUCCUGACGCUGAGGAGCGAAAGUGUGGGGAGCGAACAGGAUUAGAUACCCUGGUAGUCCACACCGUAAACGUUGGGCGCUAGGUGUGGGAUCCAUUCCACGGGUUCCGUGCCGCAGCUAACGCAUUAAGCGCCCCGCCUGGGGAGUACGGCCGCAAGGCUAAA